CCCGAACCUCGCAUGGGCUCUAAUGAUGGUCGCGUCCUCCUCCGGCGUAAAGGCGCGGUGCUCCACCUGCGGAGAGAGCUGGUUACACCAACGCAGCCGGCAAGACUUGCCGGACCGCCCAGGGAUGGAUUUGCUGAUCAAAGACCAGUUCCUAGGGCCGUGCUUCUGCACCAGUCUCUGCAACGCUUCGUCUUCCUCGGGGCUCCAAGGACCCUUGAUCCGAUCUAAAUCUUUCUUGGAAGACGCCAUGGAUUGAGAAGCCUAAAACGCCUACACGAAUUUGAGCCCUUAACUCUUAACAAAGAG
rnacentral:lncRNA from 1 species